rnacentral:rRNA from 1 species
UACGAAGGGGGCUAGCGUUGCUCGGAAUCACUGGGCGUAAAGCGCACGUAGGCGGCUCCUUAAGUCAGGGGUGAAAUCCUGGAGCUCAACUCCAGAACUGCCUUUGAUACUGAGGAGCUUGAGUCCGGGAGAGGUGAGUGGAACUGCGAGUGUAGAGGUGAAAUUCGUAGAUAUUCGCAAGAACACCAGUGGCGAAGGCGGCUCACUGGCCCGGUACUGACGCUGAGGUGCGAAAGCGUGGGGAGCAAACAGG